UAACACAUGCAAGUCGAACGAACCCUUCGGGGUUAGUGGCGGACGGGUGAGUAACACGUGGGAACGUACCUUUAGGUUCGGAACAACACAGGGAAACUUGUGCUAAUGCCGAAUGUGCCCUUCGGGGGAAAGAUUUAUCGCCUUUUAGAGCGGCCCGCGUCUGAUUAGCUUGUUGGUGAGGUAAAGGCUCACCAAGCCGACGAUCUGUAGCUGGUCUGAGAGGACGACCAGCCACACUGGGACUGAGACACGGCCCAGACUCCUACGGGAGGCAGCAGUGGGGAAUAUUGGACAAUGGGCGAAAGCCUGAUCCAGCCAUGCCGCGUGUGUGAAGAAGGUCUUCGGAUUGUAAAGCACUUUAAGUUGGGAGGAAGGGUAGUAACCUAAUACGUUGCUACUUUGACGUUACCGACAGAAUAAGCACCGGCUAACUUCGUG
rnacentral:rRNA from 1 species